GAUGAACGCUGGCGGCGUGCCUAAUACAUGCAAGUCGAGCGAACAGACGAGGAGCUUGCUCCUCUGACGUUAGCGGCGGACGGGUGAGUAACACGUGGAUAACCUACCUAUAAGACUGGGAUAACUUCGGGAAACCGGAGCUAAUACCGGAUAAUAUAUUGAACCGCAUGGUUCAAUAGUGAAAGACGGUUUUGCUGUCACUUAUAGAUGGAUCCGCGCCGCAUUAGCUAGUUGGGAAGGUAACGGCUUACCAAGGCAACGACGCGAAGCGGACCUGAGGGGGAGAUCGCCCACACGGGAACUGAGGACCGGUCCAGACCCCUGCGGGGGGAAGCGGUAGGGAAUCUUCCGCAAUGGGGGAAAGCCGGACGGGGCAAAGCCGCGUGAAGGAUGAAGGUCUUCGGAUGGUAGAACGCUGUAAUUAGGAAAGAACAAAAGUGUAGGUAACUGUGCACAUAAUGACGGUACCUAAACAGAAAGCCACGGCUAACUACGUG
rnacentral:rRNA from 1 species